UACGUAGGGGGCAAGCGUUGUCCGGAAUCAUUGGGCGUAAAGAGCGUGUAGGCGGUUCGGUAAGUCGGCUGUGAAAGUCCAGGGCUCAACCCUGGGAUGCCGGUCGAUACUGCCGGACUAGAGUUCGGAAGAGGCGAGUGGAAUUCCCGGUGUAGCGGUGAAAUGCGCAGAUAUCGGGAGGAACACCUAUGGCGAAGGCAGCUCGCUGGGACGUUACUGACGCUGAGACGCGAAAGCGUGAGGAGCGAACAGG
rnacentral:rRNA from 1 species